UUACCUGCAGUCGAACGCCCCGCAGGGGAGUGGCAGACGGGUGAGUAACGCGCGGGAAUCUACCUAGUUCUACGGAACAACACAGGGAAACUUGUGCUAAUACCGUAUACGCCCUACGGGGGAAAGAUUUAUCGGAAUUAGAUGAGCCCGCGUAAGAUUAGCUAGUUGGUGGGGUAAUGGCCUACCAAGGCGACGAUCUUUAGCUGGUCUGAGAGGAUGAUCAGCCACACUGGGACUGAGACACGGCCCAGACUCCUACGGGAGGCAGCAGUGGGGAAUAUUGGACAAUGGGCGCAAGCCUGAUCCAGCCAUGCCGCGUGAGUGAUGAAGGCCCUAGGGUUGUAAAGCUCUUUCAGUGGGGACGAUAAUGACGGUACCCACAGAAGAAGCCCCGGCUAACUUCGUGCCAGCAGCCGCGGUAAUACGAAGGGGGCUAGCGUUGUUCGGAUUUACUGGGCGUAAAGCGCACGUAGGCGGGUCGUUNAGUCGGGGGUGAAAUCCUGGAGCUCAACUCCAGAACUGCCUUCGAUACUGGCGACCUAGAGUCCGGAANANGUGAGUGGAACUCCUAGUGUAGAGGUGGAAUUCGUAAAUNUNAGNAAAACACCAGUGGCGAAGGCGGCUCACUGGUCCGGUACUGACNCUGAGGUGCGAAGCGUGGGGAGCAACAGAAUUANAUACCUGGUAGCCNCCCGUAACUAUGAANCUAGCCNUGGAGAUUUUCCUCAUGGGCACUA
rnacentral:rRNA from 1 species